UACGAAGGGGGCUAGCGUUGUUCGGAUUUACUGGGCGUAAAGCGCACGUAGGCGGAUUGUUAAGUCAGGGGUGAAAUCCUGGAGCUCAACUCCAGAACUGCCUUUGAUACUGGCGAUCUUGAGUUCGGGAGAGGUGAGUGGAACUGCGAGUGUAGAGGUGAAAUUCGUAGAUAUUCGCAAGAACACCAGUGGCGAAGGCGGCUCACUGGCCCGAUACUGACGCUGAGGCACGAAAGUGUGGGGAUCAAACAGG
rnacentral:rRNA from 1 species